CCUGGAGUUUGGCAGAGGGGGGUAGAAUUCCACGUGUAGCAGUGAAAUGCGUAGAGAUGUGGAGGAAUACCGAUGGCGAAGGCAGCCCCCUGGGCCAAUACUGACGCUCAUGCACGAAAGCGUGGGGAGCAAACAGGAUUAGAUACCCUGGUAGUCCACGCCCUAAACGAUGUCAACUAGGUGUUGGAGGGGUUAAACCUUUUAGUGCCGUAGCUAACAAGGG
rnacentral:rRNA from 1 species